UGAGUAACUCUACCCGUCAAGGUUUAGGCUGAACAAAUGAGAAGAAACCACUGUGCCUUUUGCCUCUGUUAGGAUUUGAACCCUAUGCUCCUAUGGUUCUCGUUCCAGCUUCAUUGACCGUUAGUCCAUGCUCAUCUAGGCCACUAUUCUGCAGCACAAAAUUAAAAAUGGCUUCACAUGUUUCUUUACAAAUAGUAAAUGGUUCACGUUUCAGCUUUUAUCUUAAUAAUUGAGCCAAAUCAAACUAAUCACACAAACUGGGACGGAGGAAGUGUUGGUUAAAUGUAUCAAUAUGGUGCCUUCUAAUUGUGAAUCUACUGUUACUAUUUGAUAUCUGAUCCGUUAGAAAAUUUCAUAUCCAGUGACAAACUAAAACUUUGAAAGCAUUUGAACUGGCAUCAUGUGAUCGUAUGUUUCUGUUUCUGUUACGGAGCUCGUGUAGUUGGGUUAUCAAACUGCCUCUCUAGUACGAUGGAAACCUACAAUUUAUGAAUCCAAAUCCCAACUGCUCAAGAUGGCUUGAUUUGGUUGAGUGAAGCUAACUUGAAGAUGGGCUGGUGUGGCACCUUCUUCGUUUUCCUUCUCUUUUUUUUGGUUUCCCAUACAUAUUUGGCAUCACCGAAAACACUACGUGUAUAGAUGUGAACUGAAAAGUGAAAUUUGGAUUUGCUUGAUCUGCAGCAGAAUGUCGUAGCUGCUCCUUUUAGAAUGUGGAUAGGAUUACCUUGUUCAGUCUUCUCUUCUUUCUCCACCAAAGGCAGAAUCCAUCAACUUAUGCUUCUUUUUUGUUAAAAAUCUGUUUAAUUAGGUGGCUGGAGCUGCUGUUAUCUUUGAGGUGCAAAGAAGUUCCAGAUCUGAAGCUAGAAAGGAGGAACUUCGAAAGCAGGAACUAGAGGCAAUGAAGCAGCGAGAUGAAGAGCUGAGUAGAGAGAUUGAGUUUCUUAAGAACAGAGUUAUUGAACUGGAGCGACAUGCCAAAACACGAGGAUUGAGUAGUAUCUUUAGCAUCGGGAAUGCAGAAAGUACUAAAGACAAAGUGAAAGCUGGUUGAUCAUCUGCUACUGUUGUGCUAACAUACACAUUGACAUUGUAAGACCCCUCUACAGUUCGAGCAACGUAAAGAGUUGAUGUCUCUUUUUUAAAAAGGGAUUAUUUAUUAUUUGGAGUCACCAAUUGGAAUUGAGUUUUAGUGUUUCAGGUCACCUUUUAUUUGAAUCCUCUUUCAAAAGGAAGGUUUGACUCUUAAUUUAUGGUCUACGAAAACAGAAGACUGAGUAAGGAAUUCUGUUGACCAAUGGGAAGGUGUAAGGCACCCAUCGAGUCCCGUGGUUCUAGCACAGUCUCUUUUAUUGACUAUGUAAGGCUUAAAUCAAUUGAUGGCUAUUCUUGUAAUUUAUUGGUUGUGGUUUGCCUACUACCGCUUAAUUAAUUAUUAUAUUUUAUUAACUGUUUUCAUCAA